rnacentral:misc_RNA from 1 species
GCACAAGUUCCCAUAACAUCAUCUAACUUCUUUCUUCAUACUGCUCUUCUUCCCAAUUCCAGCAGCUAUGUUGAGCGUCAGGCAAUAGAUUCAGAAAAAUUGGGCGUCAAAAAUGGAGAGGAGCGGCGGUUCACUAAGGACGCGUUCACAGGCGGCGCCUGACUGGACAUUACAUGAGUCAGUUACCCUUGUGAACGAAAUGAAAGCAACUCAAAUUGAAUGCGGCAACUCCCUAGCCUCUUUCCAGAAAUGGCAAUCGACCGUGCACAAUUGCAACUCACUGGGCGUGAAUCGGAGUUUGAAUCAGUGUAAACGGAGGUGGGAAUCUAUGUUGGAACAGUACAAUAAAGUGAAGCCCUGGGAAUCGGCCUAUUGGGAUUCCUUCGAUGAGGAGAGGAAGAGGGAAUUGGAGCUGCCGGAGCAGUUUGAUUUCGAGUUGUUUAAUGCGAUUGCUAGGUAUUUGAGUUUAGAGGGUGAGGAUGGUGGCGGUGCUGAAACUGACCCGGAUACCGACCCGGAAGCACAGCAGGUUCAAGGAAAUAAUGCUUUCUUGGAAAUUGGUCCUAAAAGGCAACGGCGGAGGACGAAGACAAAAAGGUACAAAAUUGAGGAAAGAUUGAAUCCAUGGAGACGCAUCUUAAAUGAGAACAGGAAGUAUGAGCAAUCGAAGAUGGGUAUAAAGCAUGAAGCUAGCAUAGAUGCAGGUUUGGAAGCCCCAAGGCAUGAGAAUUCAAGUUUAGAAAUAAAGCGCGAGACAUCCAGUCCGGAGGAAAUGACUGAACUUCCAAACCUUAGCAUGGUUAAUAAGGUAAAAGCUGAGCAGUUUCAUGUAGAUAAUCCAGAAGAACUGAUGGCUGCAACUCUUAGAGAAAAUGCAGAAAUG